AAGUAGGUGAAAUCCUAUUUAUAGAAGAUUAACGAUGACACAUCGAAACACACGGUCGAACCACGCAUCACGAAAUCGUAGUCGCGAUUCAUUCACGAAACCGUACGAAUCCGCGUGGGUCUUCGGGUGAAAGCCGAACAGACCCGGGUCUCGCCGAUCACUGUUUACACUCGCUGUCUUAUCAAACACGCGAGAAAGUCACACCGUUUACCAGAAACUUCUAUUGAAACAAGUUUUCGCCUCUCUGUGUUACGAGCGAGGUUAAAAACAUGUGAGCCAAUUUCUCGUCAACACGGAAAUACAACCGGAAAUACCAUGAGCAGCAAGAAAGGCUUGAUUAGUGGCGACGAGUAACGAGACCAGCACGAACAAAGACCACGCGAGGACAAUCAUCCUGGAUCGUAGUGAUUACUGAGAAGUAUUGAUAGCGAGUUGAUCAACUUGCCAAAUUUCGGAUCACCCAGACUUCCACUACGGUUAUGAUUUCGCGCACCUGACCGGUAUACACGCGUGUAUAUAUCCGUAAUAAUUUGAUUGAUAUUUCAAAUUAGUUUUCUUCUUAAAUGUAUAUAUAUAUAUGUAUAUAUAUAAAUAUAUAAAUAUAUAUAUUCUUAUAUAUGUUUAUAUAUGUAUUUAUGUAGAUAUGUAUAUAUCUGUAUAUCCGUAGGUAUGUGUAUAUACGUGUGUCGAAAGUCUUAAUUCGGCGUCGCUAGUUCUCGAACACGUUUCUCUCGAUGAACCGGGCCGUCGGGCUCAGACUCGGCUUUACCGACUUCUCCGACCAGUUAGCCAGCAGUGAACUGUUCGUGUUCCUGCCUUGGGCAUCGUAAUAUACAUAAAGUCGCCAGAUAAGCCGCAGCUGACACCCCACCACGAACCCGUCGUGGGACGGUCCGUCUUCUCGCUCGCUCACUCUCGAUGGAACAGCUUGAAAUCCUCUUCUUCUCGAAACCGCCCCGCCGCUCGUUCAUUCCCUCUCUCUAUUGCUCUUUCGCCUUUUCUGUACCACAUCCCUGUACACGUGUUCCCGCGAUGCGGAUUGCAGUUCGCAAACAUCAGCCGACCUGUGCAAAAACUACCGUUGCAAACGGGUUUCUUGACUGUUUAGACUUAACUCCGAUAAAAGUUUUUGAUAUUUUGAUAUAAGAAACGUGAUUUAAAGACGUGACUUUAUUAUUUUCUUUUUUGUUUUAGGUAAUAACAAGAACAAUAAUGAUGAAUAUUUACAUCGAAUUUUUUGAUCACCUAAAACUUGAAUCAAGUUAAAGAUUUAUAAGAUUUUUUGACAUGAUAAGCAUGAUAUUUCAAUUCUGAUUUUUUCAGAGGUGUUUUAUGAAGAGAAUGUUAGUGGAUAUUAACUCUCUGGAAUAUUAUAAUGUGUAUUUUUGAAGUGAUGCAUGUUGCAUUUUUUCUAGGAAAAUGAAAUCAAUUACUUGUGAAGUUAUUUAACUUUCGAGGUUGUUAAACUACUUAUUAAAUUUACAUCAUCAUCGAAUAUCUACUAAUUUUUAAUUUCGUGUGAAUUUACUAUUUACAUUUGAUUUAAAAAUAAUAAUUAGUCACGAGUAAAAACAUUGCGAAUUCUAUUUUUAUAUAUGAAAGAUACAUAUAAAUAUAUAUACAUAACAAGUUGCAAAUUGAAUAUGCAAAAUGCAUAAAAACAUUUCCAUUUUUAAAAAAAUUUAAGAGAAAAAUAUGGAUGUAAAAAAUUAAUAUUCAAUUGAAAAAGAUUCUCUCUAAUGUAAUAUUCACAUUUAUAAUAUUAGAUAUAACUAUCAAUAUUUAAUAUAUAUUUAUCUAAUAGAUGAUUAUAAUCAAAAUGAUAUAAGCAAAAAUGAUAAGUUUUCAACGGAAGUUCUUUUUUAUUAAGUUUUAGAAAUAAUCUUUAUCAGCAUAAGCAUCUUGAAUAACGUGUUUGUUUUUUAUGUUCGAUAUAACGAAUACAAGUGGAUUGCAUUUAUUAUAAAAAUAUUUAACUGAUAGCACGUGAAAUUCUUUAUAUAGAAAAAUCAUACAUUGUAUAUAAUUUUGUAUUAUAAUUUGAUACUAUAAACCAUAAUUAUAACAUAAAUAUGUAUCAUUUCUUCGUCAUUGAAUGAACAUUGACGAAUAAACUUAUAUUAUAUAAACAGUUCCUGGGGAAUUUCAAAUUAUUUCUAUAUAUAAUAUUGUGAAUUAAUGAGUCAGACAAAAAAAAAAGAUAUAAAAAAUUUAAAGUUGUAACGAAGUAUCUUUGAUUCGAAGAAUGUAUAAAUUUAUCGAUCAAUGACGAAAUAUAAUUUUCUUGAAAUAAAACGAAUAACAUAUAUUCUUAAGCCAUUAAUUAAAUUUCUAUCGCAAAUAAUUUUACUUAUAAUAGAUCUGACAAUUUAUAAGCUAACUUAUUAGCAGUAUAAAUCUAAUUCCAAAUGAUUUUAUAAUCAUUUAGUACCGCGGUAUUUUAGAGAAAAAUUAUAAUUCUUUUUUAUUUGUUUUUUAUAUUAUUUUUUAGAAUCGAUAAUUUUAUACAUUAUUUUACAAUUUGUAAUAUCACGUAAAAAGCCUGAAAAUUGAAUUAAACUAAUUGACUAAUUGUUAAUGCAGAACUUAUUUAUUUGAAAGUCGAAAUAACAUAAAUAAAUGCAAAAACUCUAGUAUUUCAGAUUUUUAGAAAGCGAUGAAAAAUAAUAUUUUCAAUAUAUAUCAUUCGUAUUACAAAAUACAAAGAUAAGUAGCGCACAAUGUGCUAAAAAUUAGACAAUUGAAUGAUUCCAUGAACUUAAUUUAAAAUUAUAUAAAAGUCAUGUGCAGCCAUUAGUUUCUUGUUCUAGAUCUGAAACAUGCAAUGGCAGACUACUGAUUAUCAUAAUACCAGCAAUAUCUUCCGAAUUUUCUUUUUCGAUUAAAAUAAUAACAAUAAAUGUUUGAAGAUAUUUCUCUUGUAAAUUUAAAUUUUCUUUAAACAACAUUAUCAAAUAAUACAUUAUCUUUUUUUUACUAUAAUUAUAUGAAAUAUCCUUUCUCUUUUCAUUGUUACAAAUAAUUACUCAGACAACCAGAAGAUUCAUUUGAAAAAUGAGAAACAGAUUCAUAAUAUUCCAUUGUAUCAAUUGAUAAUUAUCAGAAUUGUAUCAUAUCAAAUCCUCUAUAUAAUUGGUCAGUUGCCGCUAAAAGACAACUAAAUCUAAAUGUCAUCGUACGUCGAGCAGCAAACGAGUUGCAUUACCAUAAUCUCAUCACAAGGACAAGAUUAUAGCCGCGUUUCUAUUCUGCUAAUUCCACAUGGAAUUGUUAAUGUUAAACAUUUUUGCUUGAAACGCGACCUUCCGGAAUUUAAUCUUUUUUAUGAAUAUUAUAUUCGUUUCAAUUAAGCAUUACACGAGUGUCACACGUUGAGGCUAACUUAUGUGAUACUUGACACACUGGAACCAACGAUAACGAGCCACCUGGAACGAGACUAACGAGCAUCUCACAUUUCGUAUGAUGUAUUCUGCCAUUACUGACAUAGUACACGUGAUACAUACAACCAUGUUAGAUAAGUCACUACUUGUAUUAUUCGUCUUCACUAUAGGGGACUUCUUUCUGCGAAGAAAUCGGUCGAACCUCUUCUAAUUAUUUGACUUUGAUUAGAUCUCGAUUGUUCGUACCCAAUGCCUCGGAAGUAACAUAACCGAUUGUGAUAAUAAGUCAAUAGAAUUGAGUCAUAAAUCAUAAUUGAUUUUCUAGCUGGUAACAUUUUAUAUUAAUUGUGUCGUUCCAGAUAAUAUAUUAUUAAAAAAUAUAUUAGAAAAAUGGUUGAUAUCAAUUAUUAUCGCUCAAGUUGAAACAUAUGGUUAAACCAAGCAAAAAAAUUGAAUGAAAUAAUCAUAAUCAUAUUUAUAUUAAAUAUUUAAUGUACAGAGUACGCAGAGAAUGUCUUAGUCAGAGAAUGUUAUUUUUAAUUUAAUCAUUAAUCAUUGAUUUAAUCAUCGAAUAUUUUUAAAUCAUUUAUUUAAUAUAAUCAAUAUAUAUAUUUAAUAUUAUCAGUUAAUAUCUAUUAGAAAGACUUUGCGGAUUAUGUUUAUAAUGGCAUACUGGUUUUGAAUAAUUUAUUUUCAGAAAUAAAAUCUUCUAGUAAAGUUCGAUCUCCAAUUUCUUGUUUCUUAUCUUAACUUAAGAUAAUAUAACAUGAAAUAAUGAAAUGAUAAUAGAAUUAUUUGAAUAUAAUAAAAAUCAGUUAUGCAACAUUUUAUUUUAUAAUGUAGAUUGAACAUUUCCAUUUAAAGUUUAUCAUCAGAAAUAUCAUGUUUAUCAAUUAUUGUUCUCAAUUAUUCUAUUGCAUAUUAAAUUAUUUUCUUCCUUUAUGUAUUUUAUAUUUUGAAAAUGUCGAUGAAAUAAAUAUACAUAGUACAUGUAUACUAUAUUUUAAAUAGAGUAUUAACUCGAUAAAAAGAUAGUCUACAUGACAUUCCGUUUCUAGAUACCAUCUUCCUUCUACGGCCCUUCUUGUCACAUUGACUUAUGCUCGUUGGACCGCACAUUUCAAUCUCGCUUCAGAACGUUUUCUCAUGCUAAUUUCGAUGCAGCCCGUUUUCAUCUCGCACGAUGCUCACGUACACCAUCUAAAUCAGUUGUUUGCGGAACAGCGUGCGAAAUAUUCUAUAUCAAUGUACCGUAUAUCUCUGAUUAUUAAUAAUAACUUAUAUAUCUGUCAGAUAAAUUGUUUCACAUUAAUAUUUUCUAAAUGUGUUGCUUCAAAUGAUUGCUUCUUCUGUUUCUGUCUUUUCUUUUUUUUUUUUUAAUUUUUGAUUCAAUAACGAUUUCGUAAUAUUUAAUUUUAAAAGUAUAAGCUUUGAAACUUCCAGAAUUUAAUCAAUCAUCGAUUAUAAAUUAUCAGCGAAGUUUAGAUUUGAAUUUGAACAUUUAGAUUGUACAUAAAUAUUCGUACGUGUAAUCUAUUGAAAGAUGUAAAUAUUGAUUAUUGAUAUUUUUGUAUCUUCAAAAGUAUAUAUAAAAAUUAUUGAUUAUGAAUACAAAUAUAAUCGAAAAUGGAUUUACCUUUAGUAGGAAUUUAAUGAAUGAGAUUUAAUCUAAUCUCUAAAUAUAUUUUUAAAAAACGAACUUUUUCUUUAGUUUUUAGAGAUGUAGAGACAAAGAUGCGAGAUUUUAUCUCUUUUUCUCACAAAUUAUUCGAUUUUGUUUCACCAAAUGAAGGCAUGUCGAUAUUUGCAAACCAUUUCACGUGCUCCAUUGUGUUUCUUUAAUUUUAUUAUUAGGUUUCGUAGCACGCGCAAACGCAUAACACAUGCGAAAUGAAAAUAGAUUCAUUGCGCCUCUGUUACCAUGGCCUUCGUUGCAUAUUUGCUUACAAGGUGCGUCUUAAAAGCAUUGUAAACACCGCAUAGUCUACCUACCAGUUGAUUGCGUAUCUCGUUUGCUGCGGAAAGAAUCAGUUAGAGUAGAACUUCAUUUAUUCAUAUCUUACUUACUAAAAUCAUAUUUCUAAUCUAUUAUCAUUAUAAUUACAUGAAUAUUACAUUCAAGCAAAUAUAUAUUUAUCACUUAAAAAAUAGAAAAAAAUAAUGUUAUAAAAAAAAUAUAAAUUUAUAAUUUAUAAAUUUGCACACAAAAUUUAGAUAAUAUAUAUAUAUAUAUAUAUAUAUAUAUAUAUAUAUAUAAAUUAUAAAUUAUUAUAACAUAAAAUAUAUAAUUCAUUAUUUAGAAAGAAUUGAUUGUAUUAUCAUAUUUUAUGUUUAUAUAUGUGCAAUGGUUAUAAAACGGAAAAUCGUGAGCAAUAGAAAAAUUUUUAUUUAUAUCAAAUUAUCCAAUCUGUUUUGUCUCAGUAUAUAUUCUGAUAAAUAAAACUAAUUUUUCUUUGAAAAAAAA